AGAGAGGACCAUUAUUCGAGAGCAAAUAACGAAGAGGGUGAAGAAUCAUAAAAACCUCUAACUGCUACAUCACACACUCGCAAAAGAGUAGCGUGAACAGGGAACUUCCUGAAAGAUUUUGCUAGUGGUUCAAUCUCCUCUUCCUCGGGAUUGCUAGCAGUAAAAUUGAAAGUCCUCGAAAGAUGCCUAGCUUCACUGAUGAGCAAAUAAAGUGACUUGCCCAUAGCCACACCAAGACAGCAGAAACAGAAUGGCAGCCAGGGUGGCAAGCUGUUUUCAGUGGAUAGUAAUAUACACACUUGCCCAAAAGAGUGAAGCCUCAGCUGAAUGGCAGGAAUAUUGCUGCAGGAUGUAUGCGUCAAGGAAACCAGAAUCAGUUUUCCCGGCCCAAAAUAAGGUGAUCCCGGCUCCCGUUUUACCCCUUCAGGACUCUCUUCAGAGCUUCAAAACACAAGUAUUCGCGAAAGUAUGUGAGUGAAUGAGUACCGUUAUCUCUUUUCUCCAGGAUGUGGGAAAAUGGAGUAAGUAAAAUUAAAGCAGAAUAUAUAUUUAUGAACAAUCAUGCAUCACAAUUUACAGUUUAUCAAAGCCAAAGAUUUCUAGCUGGAAUUCUUUCACCGGGACCCAAAGUGCUCAACUUGAAUAAAACUCUAUAAAAUUCUAUGUGAUCCAUUUAGGCACUCGUAUAAUAAUAAUAAUAGUGACAACAUUAUUAUUAUCAUUAUUAUUGUCAUAAUUAUAAUUGAAUGAUAAUAAUAAGAAAAAUAAGACCACUCACUAAACAGACUAAAUUAAAGGAGCCAUACAUAAAAAAUAGAUAAAUAUUAAACAAGGGUUUGAUGUUUUUAUUUUAUUUAUUUAAUUAAAUAGUUAAAACUUUUAAACUAUCAAUAAUAACAGAAAAAAACAAAGAUACAGUACAGUGUGUCAGACUUGUUUGCUCGUUGUGGAUAUUUAUUUUUUAAUUUUCAUUUAUAGAGGCUUCUUUCAUACUGAUACACAGUAAAACAUAAUAAACAAUAACAAAAAGAAAGAAGUGCGGAGAGGAGCAAGCGAGGUCCCAACGAGGCCCACCCGAAAAUAUAUGUAUAAGUGAGCUAGCCUGCUUGCAGACGGUACUCGGUGUUUUAUUAUCGCGAAAAGCCCUCUCCUUUCGGUGAUCGGCCAUCUUGUAUUUUAAGCCGCGUGGUUCCCUGGGGCGAGCGUCCGUUUUUGCGCUUGCCCCCAGGAACCACCUGGCUUAUAAUACAGAAUGGCGCCCGAUUGUACCGUUGCAGAACUGUCCUCGUUGCAGAAGUGUCUAACCAAUCAGAUAGGACUACAUGUGUCCAAUCAUAGACCUUGUUAGAAUACCACACGUGUGACACUGGGAUCGAGUGGCAGAACAGUCUUCCCUCUUCUUCCCUGGGAUCGAGUUUGCUAUGGCAGAAUGGUCGUUUGUUGAUAAUAUAACUGAUUUCUGAGGAAUUGAUAAAGCAGAGAAACACUCAAAUAGCAGAGAAACACCCAAGAGAAAACGAUUUAGCAAAAGCCAUGUUAUGUUCCCUUACUGAGUCCGUCCUAAGACGGAGACAAGCCAUUAAGAGGGGCUUCACCACCUUGAUUAUCUCAUCCUGACCAAGUCAUUGCACUGCAGUUGUCCACACAUCACAGUUGGUUAUUGCCCUUGACAAAUACUGCAGAGGAAUUCCAUUUUUAUUUAUUUCAGGCAGUGUCAAAUUUUUUUAUUCAAUGUCAAAGGUGCCAAGGUUAACAAAAUUGAACCAGAGAUUUUGUCAUCUUUAGCUCAUCUUUAGCUUUAGGCGGCACCAAGCAAAUAGUCCAGUUUUGAAUUCAACUGUGCCAUUGGAAUUAAGGACACAUAUAAAGACAGUGUGAGCCUAAGUUUCAGAUUAUUGGUUCACAAAUAACAUCGAGAUCAUGAAGAAUUCACAUGUUUUACAUUGUUUUAUUUCAAGCUCUAGGAGAUUUUCACUUGUAUGUUACACUUGACUUAUACUACCUUUGUCCAUCUAUUCAGCAGGCAUGAUGCAUUUCCAAAUUUGAUUACUGAAGCAACCUUUGUCACAUCAUAGCUUAUAAUGUUCUGCUGUAGUUAUGUAACUAUUUAUUUGCAUAACCUUUCAAUAAAUCACAUGUUUCCUUUA